AUAAUGAACGCCAUACUAAUUUCCAAAUUGUACACAAGAAACUAAAAUUAAAAUAAUACAAGAUUAACAAAGGCCAGAGGCUCCUGACUUGGGACAGGCGCAAAAAUGCGGCGGGGUUAAACAUGUUUGUGAGAUCUCAACCCUCCCCCUAUACCUCUAGCCAAUGUAGAAAAGUAAACGCAUAACAAUACGCACAUUAAAAUUCAGUUCAAGAGAAGUCCGAGUCUGAUGUCAGAAGAUGUAACCAAAGAAAAUAAACAAAAUGACAAUAAUACAUAAAUAACAACAGACUACUAGCAGUUAACUGACAUGCCAGCUCCAAACUUCAAUUAAACUGACUGAAAGAUUAUGAUUUCAUCAUAUGAACAUCAGG
rnacentral:lncRNA from 1 species